rnacentral:lncRNA from 1 species
AACCAGACAACCGCCACCACAAACUCUAUAGGGAAUUUUUUUUUUUCUUGCUUGUAACUGCGAAACUCCCCAUGUUUUAUUCGCUCACCACCGUGGAUGUUUCAGUUUGAUUUUCGAGAAAAAUAUCCGCAUUUUAAAGCUUGUUUUCUGCGUGAUGACUGAUUUGCGGUGAAGUGUUCAGUACUGAAAAAAAAAAAAAAGUGGACAAGCUUGUGGCACCGGAACCUACCAGCCGUGAACGUUCCAUUACAGUCCCGAUUGCGUGAGAGAGGAUUUCUGGAAACGAGUGUAUGCGAAGAAUUUUUGGACAAGCUCUUGCCAGAAAGAAAAAAAAGAAGUGUGCGAAAAAUACGGCAGCUUUAACAUCGACGAGUCUCCGACCAACGCUUCGAUUCGGUCUGGGAGUCCAAUACGCAGGGCCUGACGAACCAUCUCACACGGUAUACAGAUACCGUACGCUGGUGACACCGAAGCUCCGCAGACCCUGCAAGUAGCUCCUGGACAACAACAGCGUAGGAACAGGAUCUUGUGUGCUGUCUAUUUCACUGCGAAGU